ACCUGAAGGUAUGGUUACUUUUAUUGAUUUUCUUGAGCAUGCAGUACAAUGCAACUCUUA
rnacentral:misc_RNA from 1 species